GUACGAAGGAAGGUUUGGUAUGUGGUAUAUUCGUAC
rnacentral:misc_RNA from 1 species